UGUUGACCACUAACUAGCUAGCUACUUGAAGAAAUUCCAAAAGUAUCCCAUCCAACACCGAAGCAUGGCACAAUCUUCGAGAAGAUGCUAUUGCAGUGUACCAUUUUGUUCAAACAACAAACAGAAUUUCCCGUAUCUGAGUUUUUACGAUUUUCCUGUUGAUGGAGAAAUACGUGCCCGUUGGGUGAGGGCGAUCAGGAGAGAUGAGGGACCAAGUUUUAAGAUUCUUCGUGGGAGCACCUUUGUGUGCAGUCAGCACUUUCCCCCUGAGGAUAGACACACAUCGGCCAGUGGACGGAUCCGUAUCAAACAGGGAUCAAUGCCAUCUAGAUUCCAUUGGAAUGAUUGGGGUAAGGGUAAACUGGACAGUGUUACUCAAAGAAUUCAAGAGUUGGAGCUGUAAGUGUUGUCCCUAGAAAUUGAGAUCCAGCACCUGACAGUUAAGAAGCAG